rnacentral:rRNA from 1 species
GACGAACGCUGGCGGCGUGCUUAACACAUGCAAGUCGAACGGAAAGGCCCUGCUUUUGUGGGGUGCUCGAGUGGCGAACGGGUGAGUAACACGUGAGUAACCUGCCCUUGACUUUGGGAUAACUUCAGGAAACUGGGGCUAAUACCGGAUAGGAGCUCCUGCUGCAUGGUGGGGGUUGGAAAGUUUCGGCGGUUGGGGAUGGACUCGCGGCUUAUCAGCUUGUUGGUGGGGUAGUGGCUUACCAAGGCUUUGACGGGUAGCCGGCCUGAGAGGGUGACCGGCCACAUUGGGACUGAGAUACGGCCCAGACUCCUACGGGGGGCAGCGGUGGGGAAUAUUGCACAAUGGGCGGAAGCCUGAUGCAGCAACGCCGCGUGCGGGAUGACGGCCUUCGGGUUGUAAACCGCUUUCGCCUGUGACGAAGCGUGAGUGACGGUAAUGGGUGAAGAAGCACCGGCUAACUACGUG